rnacentral:tRNA from 1 species
UAACAAAUAGCUUAAUCUUAAAGCAUAGCACUGAAGCUGCUAAGACAGGCUUUGCCCUUUUGUUAG